GGUUCUUUAACUCAGUUGGUCAGAGCUAACGUCUCAUAACCGUUCGGUCGCUGGUUCGAGUCCAGCAAGAACCA
rnacentral:tRNA from 1 species